UACGUAGGGGGCAAGCGUUGUCCGGAUUUAUUGGGCGUAAAGAGCGUGUAGGCGGCCAGGUAGGUCCGUUGUGAAAACUGGAGGCUUAACCUCCAGCGGUCGAUGGAAACCAUCUGGCUAGAGUCCGGAAGAGGAGAGUGGAAUUCCUGGUGUAGCGGUGAAAUGCGCAGAUAUCAGGAGGAACACCGGUGGCGAAGGCGGGUCUCUGGGGCCAAACAUC
rnacentral:rRNA from 1 species